rnacentral:tRNA from 1 species
GGCUGGGUAGCUCAAUCGGUUAGAGCGGCGGUCUCAUAAUCCGCAGGUUGGCGGUUCGAUUCCGCCCUCCGCCA